CUCUCUCUCUCUAUCUUUAUACUUACAAGCAAAUAAGAAUUUUGUGAACUGAAUAUCAAUUUGGCUAUGGGAAGCACAAGCAAUUCUCUACUCCACGUAUCACAAACUUCUUUAAAGACGACUUUUUCCCUUCAUAGUACACAUAAGAACUCUAGGAAGUAGGAAGACCAAUAACCACUUUGCAACGUAAAAUGAAAUUCCAACUAUUAACAUAAAAACAUAGCAAUUUGCAUGAGGAGGAGAGCACUGACCUUGAGCUUUUGGGAAUUCUGGAUUUGCUGCUCUUCAACGUCUCUAUUAGAAGUGGAAUGGGAUGUUGAGCCAUUGGAAGUGGUGCCAAACACUUUGCUGCCAAAAUUGGUAAUGGCAGCUUUCCAAUUCACAUCCUCCUCGCUGCUGCUGCUGCUACUGGUCGGCCCUGCCAUUUUCCUUUACGACGCUGAAAUCAAGUUCCCUCCUUCCAAAUUGCUCAGGCAUGUGACCAAAAAAAGUGGGCUCUUCGGGCUAAACUGGCUCAAUUAGUCCAAUGGGUAGCCUAUAUGGGCCGCCUUUGACCUAUCCGGAGCUUCCAUGCUUCUUCGCCGAUUCAACGCCGCAGUUGGCGAGCCUCACCGUCGCAAACCUCUCAAAUUUGGAAGCAAUAAAAUUUCAAAACCACCAAUUUUCUCGUCCUUUCUCCCCAUGGCAAAGAAGGAGAAGCAGAGAGGAGUCCUAACUUUAGUUAUCCAGAUACUGCUUUGGAGACCUCCUUAAAUAUAGAUAGCCAUAAAAUGCUAAUUUCUCAAAAUCAUUAUCCAUUUCUAAGCUCCCGAGGCAACAGAAACAUUGGGAAGAAAUAACACAGCAAAGAUCGAAUGUUCAUAACGAAAACUGAAUGGGUAGCGACAAAUUCAAAGAGGUCAACCGUUUCUAGCGCAUUCCCUUCUAUUGUAGAGUGCAAUUAAAGAAUUAAAUAUCAAGACCAAAAGACCAAAAACUGGAAGGAGCUUCUCACUGAUGGGCCAUUCACUAGGAAGACUUGAUGACAAUUCAGAAUCCUAAAGCACUUGACAGUAAGGUCACUUUGGAUUUUGACCUUUUUAAGAAUGGUCUGAAAGUUGAUGAUGAAGAUAGGAAGAACAAUUGCAAGCUUUUGGUGUAGUUGAAGUGGUGGCCAUCUUUAGGAUUCAUCAGUUGGCCAGGGAUCGAAUCUUUAUGCUAAUACCCAUUCAAUUUUUCGCCAGUUAUCAAGCAGGUUCAUACUGAUUCACUUUGGGUUUACAAGUAAACCAAACUGGACCGGACCAGGUUCCAAUUCCAUAUUAAACCGGUCUUCUCCGGAUUUAACAACCAUGGUAUUCUCUAUGUCAUUAUGACUUUGUAAACGUUGGGGGAGUUGGGUAUCGCAUUUUCUGGGUCACAUAGAUUAUCACAUAGCGUGUGAGAAGUAGUGGGUGAAAAUGUUUGUGGUAUAUCAUAAGAAACAGCAAAAUUUGUUUCUUGCAUAUGUUGUGGUCAAAAUGCUUCUAGAAUUUGUUUAUUGGAUAUUUCCCUCCCAAUAACUAAAAGUGGAUAAGAAAAUUAACAUAAUCUAUAACUUGAUAGCUCACAAGAGUCAUUGAGAAAUUGAAGAUUAAUCUAUUCCUUAUGUAGGAGAUAAAGAUUAUUUCUGUAAUAGUAUUUGUUAAUCCCUACACGGAGCUUGACGAAGAAGAUGAGCAAGAAAGUCCAAAGAAGAGAAGGCCACUGAGGAUGAAGAAAAUGCUAGUUUUUGAAGUGUGGAAUGCUAGCUUUUGAUAUUCUGUUUUGAUUUUGGUUUUUCUUAGAGAUUGCAAUGAAUUUUGGUCCUUAACAUUUUAGGACAAGGUUGGGUCAUGGUACAGCAAUCCAGGCACAGGAACUGCAGGAUCUGGAGCUGUGGGUGGUGAUGCCAUGGGAAAGUACUUGAAUGCAAAAGAAUAUUCAACCUGAAUCAAUUGCUAUGGAUGGUGGUUUAUCAACAAUUGCAGUGGCAAAGAAUAGUAAAGUGGGAUUUCCAACAGGAGAGUUAAAACACUUCUCCGGUUGGUGAGAAUUCCCAAAUCUAGUGCAAUUCUUGAGACUCUGAAGAAGAUGGAGCUGGUGUAGGUCAGCAGUAUUAACAUAUUCUUUUGAGGUGUGGUGAAAUUCAAACAGAUACUGUUGAGAAGGCAUUUCAUUCCAUUGCAUUGAUUUGUUUUGGCUGGUUAUAUGUACAAUAAAGAUGUAUUAGUCAGAAAUUAUUUAGUCCUGAUAAAACGCGGUCUUUGUCCAGUCCAAAGAGUGCCUUCUCACUCUUUUUGUACAGUAACAUGUGUAAAGGUGAAAUCACGGUUCCAAUCUGCCUUUA